GUGCUCUUCGGCAGCACAUUUACCAAAAUUGGAAAGGAUACAGAGAAGAUUAGCAUUAGCAUGGCCCCCACACAAGAAUGACAAGCAAAUUUGUGAUGCAUUCCAUAUUUUU
rnacentral:snRNA from 1 species